GGCAGGUCUUCGAUUCGCCCAGUCUACAAAAUUUAUUAAUUUCUUGACCAAUCACAGACCAGUAAUCUUUUUCACCUGUGUUGGGCACGCGUUUGUUAGCUUUUCCAGACCACGGCAUUGCCAUGCGAUUCUUGAUUCAUGCGAGACCGUAACCGCUUCGUCUCGCACCGCCGAACGCAAGGGACAAUGGUUGCCGACGAGAGACGCCAAUCUUUACCGUAGCCGUAGGUGUUUCACGAUAACGUCCGGCGAGACAGACGACAAGCCCUGCUUAUCUAUCGGUGGCGAGACAGUUGACAGUUUUCCGAUGCCGGAAAAAAAAUCUACCGGUACUUCACGACACGUUCCGGGAGACGUCGGGAGAAUCUUCGGGUUCUGAUCUUUGAGGACAUCCGCGGUGCUCAAAACAACAGACUGACGACUAUGCCUUUCCCGGACAUUUGACAAGAAGUCGUGACUGCAGAAUCAGUGCACAGUUUUGAAGCACGGUUCCAGGACCUGUGCUGGGGGAAGAAGAAGAACUGUGUGUGACAGGAGGGUGACAGGACAGGCAGCAAAGCCUAAUUCACCAAGGAAUCCUGCACGAUAUCCCCCACAAGCAAAAUUCAUGUCUGGACGCACUAAGAGAGGAGCUGGAUAAGGGAGGUGCCACGCAGCAGCGUCACUAGCUGUUUCUCGACAUCAGUGCAUGACCAAGCCAAGGCGGCACCAAG